UACGAAGGGGGCGAGCGUUGUUCGGAUUUACUGGGCGUAAAGGGCGCGCAGGCGGCUUAUUUUGUCAGGCGUGAAAGCCCCGGGCUUAACCUGGGAACUGCAUUUGAUACUACUGAGCUUGAGUACGGGAGAGGAUAGUGGAAUUCCCAGUGUAGAGGUGAAAUUCGUAGAUAUUGGGAAGAACACCGGUGGCGAAGGCGGCUAUCGUGGACCGUAACUGACG
rnacentral:rRNA from 1 species